rnacentral:lncRNA from 1 species
GUUGAGAAAGGGGCGCAUAAAAGAAUACUCAAAGGACUUGAAUACGCGUGAAAUAUUCCUUAAAAAGGGAAAAAGGCAUAGGUUGCAUAAAAAGGGUACUCAAAGAACUUGUAUACGCGUUAUAUUCCUUAAAAGGAAAAAGGCAUCGUUAGGGGCUUGGCUAAAACAUUAUCAGAGUUUGCAACGGAAGGUGUAACUGAAAUAAUCAGUGUUUACAGCGGAAAGCAUAACUGAGAUACAUGUAUGAAGACAUGUAUCCUUUCUGAGCCUACUUUAAGUUCGACAAAAACUCCACUCAGCAACACUUCAUCGCCCAUCACAACUCAACCUGCACAAACAUAAACAUACGAAGGGCUGAGUACAAGAGUACUCAGUGGGCAGUGCCAAGCAUAUAACAUAAUAUCAACAACAAAACACAACUUCGCAUAAGAGGCAUAAGUUUCUUUCAAAUCCUUUGCUCAUUAAACAUUUCCAAAUUCAUAAAUAGCAUAAGGGCAUUCUUCAUCAUUAACAAUCAUAAACACGCAUCGUGUCGUGGAGAAGGCCUUCCCCAACGAACACGGGCAUCGUGCCGUGAAGGGGGCCUCCCUCAGCGGUCACGGCAUCGUACUAUUGAGGGAGGCCUCCCCCAAUAGACGCUGUAACACUGGCAUACUGGCAUACUGGCAUCGCGCCGCGAGAGAGACCUCUCUCAGCAGACACGGGCAUCGCGCCGUGAGGAAGGCCCUCCUCAGCGGACACGGCAUCGUACUGUUGAGGGAGGCCUCCCCCAACAGACGCAAGCAUCAAACAUAAGCAUAAACUUAUCAGCGUAAAGCAUUCAAGCGUAAAUAAGCGUAAUCAAGCGUAAAUCAUUUAGCGUAAAGCAUAAUAAAGCAUACCACACUUGAAGAUCCAAUUUGCAUUUUAAAGCAUAACACAUGCAUAGCAUUUUAUUUACGCGUAAGAAAUUGCCCACCUCAAUUGUUCUUAAAGCUGGCGUGGAGUCGUUUCUUCUUCGGCUUCACUUUCUGUCGCCCGGACCUUCAUUGAUGAAGAGUCGAUAAGUUCGUGAAGUAAUUGUCAUAAGACAAAGUCUAAUUCUACGUGCCUAGGGUAUCUUUUAGUGUUUUAGGGUUCUAGCAUCCAUAAUUCGUUACAUUAUAGACAGUCAAAAAUCAAUCAUACCUCGUCUAAUUCAUUCAAACACAUUGGCUACAGAAAUACAUAAGUCGCUUUAGAGUCAUAAUCAAACAUCAUCAAAACAUGCUCUGUUUUUACACUGACUCAACUUCAAAAUUUAAUCUGUUCUGACUCCGACAUCUCCUGGACUCGAGACUUAUACCGAAAGAAAGAUAUUCGAAUCUAGUUUCAUAUAAAAAAAAGUAGAGUCGAAAACUCCAAGUGGUUUGAGAGAUAUGCUGUUUUUACCACGAUCUACCAUGUUCGGCAGUUUUGAACAAUCGAAAACUUGGAUUUUUGAAAAAUAGUAAACGUUGUCAAACUGGGCUCAACGUUGGUGGAUAUCUAGAUAACACAAUAAGGUUAAUACCUUAAAAAUUUGGAAAGCUAGAUCACACAGGAAGCUACUGAAAUAAAUGCCUCUUUCAUCUGUUCUCUGAAAUUCUCGGUAGUAAUGUGCAGUUUAGGUUUUGCAUUUUAAAGAAGUGUCAAACGAAGUUGGAAUGGCUUGAAAUUUUACCAGGGUACUCAAGACUCAUGUAGGGACUUUCUAUAAAAUUUUCAAAUCUAUUAGACAUCGACAAACCGUCGAUCACAGUAGGUCAGUAGGCCUACGAAAUUCAUAUUUAUAAGUCCUUAAAAAAAAUAAUUUAUAUAAAUCAAGAAAUAAGAGUUUAAUCCCAAAAAUAUUCAUUAAAAGUCCAUCAUAAUUUAAAUAAAGAACGGACCUCAUUUAAAAUAAAUAGUCCCAAACUUGUUACACACAUAUACUAAAUCUUUCAUGAAACAUCCUUUAAAAUAAACUUUGAUACAUAGAAAAUAAUUCAACAACUUGAGCUCUUUAAGGGGUUGUUUUGCAACAGACACCAAAUCUGCCUCGGAUCUCCAAAUGAGGUUCCAAAAGACAUUCUGGAAACUAGACAUUUCAAGGAUCAUUCUCCAAUUUGAAUCGAAUGAANAAAAAUUCAAACGAGCAAGAUAUGCCCUCUCAAAGAUGGGUAUUUAACAAGCAAAAAUCUGAAAAUUUCAGAUUUCCAGAUUACAACCAAGUCAGUGGGCUUUCUUUAAAAAUUCAUAUCUCCCUUUACAAAACUCCACUGGGAACCCCAAGGGUCAAUCUGGAAACUAGGGAGAGAUCAUAACACUCUCCAGUUGGAUUUACUCUAAGAACAUUCAUGGUUUAGAAGAUAUGACUAUCUAAAGUUCAGUGCACAAAAAGAGUUCAAGUUUGGCAGAUUCAGAACAUAAAUCGGAAAAACCACUUUAGGCUUCACCAAAAAUUCUAAAACUGAACAAGUAAGUUCCCAACAUGUCAGUGAAUUUUCAGUAGAAAGAUACGCUUGAGAAUCAAAGAUUUAAGUCGGUAUUUUCCACCUCAAAGUCGUAGGUUUGUAAAAUCUACUGGAUGGUACAAGGAAUAAGAACUAGAUUUCAAGAAUUUAUACCGGUUGUUUCCCUUACUCAAAAAUGGUGAGGCCGAUUUCAAAAGAAAGAUACGGGAGUCUAGAGUGACAUAUUCAAGUUUCAAAGGUUUUCACCGAUUGAAACUUUACUUAUGGCCUCCCAAAGAUUGUUUACCAAAAAUGUAUUCCAGAUGGGCAGUGAUGUUUACAAAUUCAUAAAUAAAUCAUAAGAGCUUCAAACCUUCUGAAAUUUUACCAAAGUAUAGAAAACAUAUGAAAGAUGAUACACAAUUAAUUUGAGAAUUUUUUGGGAACCGUUUGGAUUGCUGAAAUCGCCUUGCAAAACACUGCCGGAGUGUUGGGGUACUACUGGACUGGAGCAGCUUGAAAUCUUGGCAAAAUAGUUAAGCCAAGUCUUCCUUCUCUUUGUGAUUGCUGGUGCGAAAUGGAAGGAAUGGGUGAAGUUUUUUUGAAGUUGGUGGGGAGCAUAGGUAGUGGAGAUGGUGGUGCACUAAUGUGGUGGGGGAAAAGUAAAGUAGUGGUGGGGAGGUAGGUAUGAUGUAAUUUGGUGGAGUGGAUGCGUAUAUAGUGUAGGAA